GGGGAUGUAGCUCAUCAGGCAGAGCACUUGGCUAGCAUGCAUGAGGCACUGAGUUCUAUUCUCAGCCCCA
rnacentral:tRNA from 1 species